rnacentral:rRNA from 1 species
UACGUAGGGUGCAGGCGUUUAAUCGGAAUUACUGGGCGUAAAGCGUGCGUAGGCGGUUUGUUAAGACAGGUGUGAAAUCCCCGGGCUUAACCUGGGAACUGCGCUUGUUACUGGCAGACUGGAGUGUGGCAGAGGGGGGGUGGAAUUCCAGGUGUAGCAGUGAAAUGCGUAGAUAUCUGGAGGAACACCGAUGGCGAAGGCAGCCCCCUGGGCUAACACUGACGCUGAUGCACGAAAGCGUGGGGAGCAAACAGG